GCUAUUUUGGCAGAUAAAAUGUGAUGGUUUUAGAAAUCAUUAAUGUAUAUUAAAUUAUAUAUUUAGUA
rnacentral:tRNA from 1 species